CAAGGAGAUUUCCUGACCUGAGGGUUGCAAAGAUCCACAGGAGAAGCACAGUUUCCUGGGGUCACUCAUUCACUCAUCACUUCCCUGGAUGAGGGAGGUUCCUUUGGCUCCAUCUCCAUGCUGCUCCCAGGUGAGCUCUUGUACUGCCUUGUUUUUCUUCAUUCUCUGUGGGGGUCAAUUUGUUUUCUUGAUUAGUCCCAAUGUGAGUACCUGAAUGUUUCGGUUGAAGGUGUUGUAUUUACUCGUCCCUUCCAUUUCUUUCUGUGAGAGCUAGAUAUCCAUCUCAGCCACUCCCUACCAAAAAAAAAAAAAAAAAAAAAACAUUCUAAAUUUCUUCUACCCAAGGUUUUCAUGGUUUGUUGGAUUAUCCACCUAGAAUUUCUGAGAUUUCUUCCAAUGCCAUCAAGUGUAAGUGUGCCCUGUAGUUACACACAAGUUUUAUUUCAUGAAGAAGACACCUCAAGUGUCUCCUGGCAUCUGUUCUUGAAGCAGACACUUCCUGGCUGUGAGACUGCAUAUUAGCAGUUGCCCCUAAGGACUGGCUGCAGAUGUCAUCACUCCCAUUGGGUCUCCUUGGCAUUGGCUCUCAGUGUAUUCCAGAGCCUGUUCCUCCUAGCAGGAACAACUCUCAGAAGUCCCAUUUGGUAUGGCUCAGAGACGGUCCCAAUGUCUUGUCUACUGCAACUCUUAGACACCAUGAGCAAUUCUCUCUUUACUCUUGAUGUGGUCUCUGUAGGAUGGUUCUUAGCAUUAGUUCUUCCACAAAUUUUCCAAAAUCUUUUCACUUCACUCAGAGUUAAAUCCAACUCUGUAAUAGUGUCUCCAAGGCAACAUCAAACAUCAGUACCUUCUCCUGUCCCUACCUCUUACCCGACACUUGCCACCUUGGUCUUCAGGCAAAGGACGCGCCAUCCUCAAAACCAUUGCACUAGCUGUUUCUUUUAUCUUUUUUGGAGCUUAAGAUUAUUGCAUUAUUUUUGAUAUUGUUUCUAAGGCACAAUGAUUGUGAGAAAAAAUAGCAGGAAUAAAACAGUAAAUUAAAAUUCAGUGUGAUACAAUUUAGGAUUAUUUUUUGGUGUAUGGGGUGAGGUGAAAGUACAUAGAAAAUACAAUCUAAUAGGCAGGAGGCUAUUCUUCCAAAAAGAAGUGCUGUUUAAGCUGAGGCCUGGAAGAUAAGGAGUGGGCCAGGCAAAUUUAAAAGGGAAAAAUAUCUUGGUAUAGGAAGAAGGUACUCCCUGCUCAGACACAAGGGAAAAUCUGGUGUACUCUGGGAGAGACACAUGGUUGCAGCUAUCAUAGAACCUAAAGCUUACGGGCUUUUUCUUGAAGAGUGAGGAUCAACAUAUAUUCAGAAAGAUUAUUGCAC
rnacentral:lncRNA from 1 species